rnacentral:lncRNA from 1 species
UGGAGGGGGGGGAGGUUGGGGAGGUGGGGGGAAGCGAAGCCCUAAGAUGGGCGGAGAGAAGCAGAUGUGGAGGUGAUGGCGAAGACCCAGAUAUAAGCAGUUGGUGAGUUCCAUGAGGAGACUGCAACUUCUCCACCCUGUGCCCCUCCAGAUCCCUCAUGCUGCUCUGUGUCCUCCAGGGUUGGCCUGUCCAAGUUCAACAGUGGGCUUCCACACCCUCCCACUUCCAGCUGGGUUGGCCAAGGGACCCCACUAAAACAGCAUCCUGCACAAAAUAGAACAUAGCAGGCCGGGCGCAGUGGCUCACACCUGUAAUCCCAGCACUUUGGGAGGCCGAGGAGGGCGGAUCACCUGAGGUCAUGAGUUCGAGACUAGCCUGGUCAACAUGAUGAAAUCCUGUCUGUGCUAAAAAUACAAAAUUUAGUUGGGCAUGGUGGCGUGUGCCUAUAAUUCCAGCUACUUGGGAGGCUGAGGCAGGAGAAUUGCUUGAACACAGGAGGUGGAAGUUGCGGUGAGCCGAGAUCAUGCCACUUCACUCCAGCCUGGGUGACAGAGCGAGACUCCAACUCAGAAAAAAAAAAAAGAAGAAGAAGAAGAACAUAGCACAUAGUGACAUUAGCUAGGUGCCUCCAAUUCCUGGCUUUCCCAGAAGGAAGAGCCCAGUGGAGCCAGCCGUGUCAUGACUCCUGUCGGACCGUGUUACAGACCAUGAUCACCGACCAGUUCUUUAUCCAUGGAUGAGCGGUCACCUUUUAUCUUGUCAGCCAGGAGGGCCAGGCAUGAUGGUGUGUGCCUGUAGUCCCAGCUAUUUGGGAGGCUGAGGUGGGAGGAUUGCUUGAGCCCAGGAGACCGUGGCUGCAAUGAGUUGUGAUCACACCACUGCACUCCAUCCAGCCUGGGUGGCAGAGCAAGACCCCAUCUCUAAAUAAAUAAAUAAAUUCCAAGUUUCCUGUUUUUUUUGGAGCUUACAUUCUAGUUGGGGUGGAGAAAUAGACAAUAAACAACUAUAUAUAUAUUGAGACAGAGUCUUGCUCGCUAGCCCAGGUUGGAGUGCAGUGGCAAGAUCUUGGCUCACUGCAAUCUCCGUCUCCUGGGUUCAAGCGAUUCUCGUGCCUCAGCCUCCUGAGUAGCUGGGAUUACAGACGCCUGCCAUCGUGCCUGGCUAGUUUUUUAUUUUUUAUUAUUAUUUUUUUAUUUUUAGAAGAGAUGGGGUUUCACCAUGUAGGCCAGGCUGGUCUUGAACUCCUGGCCUCAAGUGAUCUACCCACAUCGGCCUCCCAAAGUGCUGGGAUUAUAGGCGUGAGCUACCGCGCCUGGCUAAACAACUAUAUUCUAUCAGGUGGGGUAAGUGCUUUGAAGAAAAUUAACAGUUGAAGAACAGAGGGUGACCAGAGAGCGGUUAUUUUAGGAGAUUGGCAGAGAAGUCUUUCUGAUAGACGGACAUUCGAACAGAGGCCUAAGCGAAGUGAGGGAGUGAGGGAGGGCGCUGCAGACAUUAGAGCUGCUUCUCCCUGGGGAGGGCUCUCCUGGCAGAAGGAACAAUAGCAGGUGCAAAGGCCCUGCGUCAGGCAUGUGCUUGCUACAGUACCUGGCUGUCUCCGUGGCUGGGGCUGUGGACAGGGCCGGCAUUCUGUGUUGUGGCCUGUGGAGUGGUUUGAGAUUCCUUUGGAGAGUACCAGAACUUGCGGUCAGUCCCAAGUCCAUCAGCCACUUGGCCAGGGGUUCAGGGACCAAGGCAACAGCUAUGGCAGCGGGCAGGAGGAGAAGUGGCCGAUCUGGGGAUCCCCCUUUACAUCGGGGUCAGAUGCCUCUCUUUCUCAGCUGUUUAUGUGGCCCAGGCUGCAGUUUGAGUAUAAGGUCAGAGAUUGAUUCCCAUGAAUCCUG